AUGGUAUGGUAGGUGGUUGCUUGGAGAUAUUCUCUAAGAGGAAAGUCCGAGCUGCGAUGAAACAAAGUUCCAUCUAACAGAUGGCCAGGGUAACCUGAGGGAUAGUGCAACAGAAAGUAAACUGCCCGCAUUUGCGGGUGAUGGUGAAACGGUAGAGUAAGAGCCUACCAGCGUUUUGGGCAACCAAGACGGCUUUGUAAACCCAACUUGCAGCAAGAAGGGAUGGUUUUUGUUUCAUAUUUUUAAAACCCUUCGCAUGAGCGUCUUGGCGACAUGACGCCUAGAUAAAUAGCCACCCACGACAGAACUCGGCUUAUCGCCAUACCAUGGGU
rnacentral:RNase_P_RNA from 1 species